GCUUAGUGGCGGACUGGUGAGUAACGCAUGAGGAACCUGCCUUUCGGAGGGGGACAACAGUUGGAAACGAACGCUAAUACCGCAUGAUAUUAAAGGGCUGCAUGGCCUGAUAAUCAAAGGAGCAAUCCGCUGAAAGAUGGGCUCGCGUCCGAUUAGGUAGUUGGUGAGGUAACGGCCCACCAAGCCGACGAUCGGUAGCCGGACUGAGAGGUUGAACGGCCACAUUGGGACUGAGACACGGCCCAGACUCCUACGGGAGGCAGCAGUGAGGGAUAUUGGUCAAUGGGGGAAACCCUGAACCAGCAACGCCGCGUGAGGGAAGACGGUUUUCGGAUUGUAAACCUCUGUCCUCUGUGAAGAUGAUGACGGUAGCAGAGGAGGAAGCUCCGGCUAACUACGUGCCAGCAGCCGCGGUAAUACGUAGGGAGCAAGCGUUGUCCGGAUUUACUGGGUGUAAAGGGUGCGUAGGCGGCUUAGCAAGUCAGAAGUGAAAUCCAUGGGCUUAACCCAUGAACUGCUUUUGAAACUGUUGAGCUUGAGUGGAGUAGAGGUAGGCGGAAUUCCCGGUGU
rnacentral:rRNA from 1 species